AAUUUAUAUUGGUCCAAUAUUAUAAAGUAAUCUGUUUUUAGCUAAUACUUAAUUAUGAUUAAAUGGGCAAAUUUAAUGACUUCGGAAUGCUUGCGGCGUGCGUGGACGUUGUCCAUGGGAACCUCUGCCGCAAGCGCAAAAAUUCUCAGAAAAAUUAUUAUCGUGCCAAGGCACGUACUUAUAUAACUGUGAAGCUAAAUCUUAACGUCGAGUAAGAACUCGACAUAUGCACCACCCAGUGGUGCGGAGCGAAAACGCAUACAACUUUGCAGGAUCAUUUCGGUGCAAUAUUGCAAUUGUAUAUCUCUGUAAUAUCUCUGCAAAAUUACAUGCAACUUGUAAUGUUGCAACAUUCCUGCAAUAAAACUGGAAGCUUACGUGCUGUAUGGGGUAGCAUCUAUUCAGACGAUGGACUUUUGUUUCAGUGUUGGUGUGAAUGUUUUAAGACGUUUCUCGCCUUUACAGGCAUUUACUCGGAAUGGCAAUUAAUUUAGAAACGUUGAGAUCGGAUUACCAAGCGGAAUAGGAUCGGCUUAUUUAAUCUUCAAAGAAGCGCCGCGGCCUCUUUCGCAAUUUGAGCGGCGCGACUUGCAAAUGCAGUUCCUAUACCUGGAGAUUAAUUGUGACUUAAGUACACGGCGGAAGGAAGGAUUAUAGCGAACUCACACGACACCAACCCAAUCGGUCGCGCAGCGUCUCGACACCUUGGCGCCACUCACGUACACACCACACACUCGUCCAGUCGUGUACUAUACACACUACCGCUCACAGUAACUGCACUAUAAAGUGGACCCUCCGAUAUUAUGUUGCAAACGUGCCACUUUGUUUAAUUAGCACUGCUUCCUUCGAAAAUUUAUUUCUCACGUUGCAUGUUGCAAACUUCACUGAACAACUUAAAAAUUGAUGUACGUCCUUUUUGGUUUUUUAAUAUAUUGCGAUUUUCGAAUUGUACAAUUUGUUGGCGAACGACAAUGUCUUAAAUUUAUAUGUACUAUCGUAAGCCGUUCUGCGGCACUAAACGAUAUCGAUCGAGAUUUAGCGAGAUGCGAUUAUAGUGCCCUCGACGGCGACAGCUUAGAAUAAAAUAUGGCGGAAUAGAACAACACGUGCCUAAUUUCAUUCCCGCUAAAAUCGUAAGAUAAAAAUAGUCUACGCUAUUAACUUCAAACAUAUUUUUUAACAUUACAGGCGUUGAUUAGUUAUAACUAAAUGUUGUAUGUUAAAGACGAUUGUUUCAUAUCUUUUAUUAAAGAUAUUUAGAAAAAGAUAUUUUUAGAAACGAUAUUGUGGUUAAUUUUCUGAGAGUUUUAUAUUUGAUUUAUACAUUCAAUCGUACACUCGAGUAAGACUGCAAUUUUCGUUGCAGGCAGUCCAUUAUAACAUUACCGUGCAGAUCUGCAUAAUAUCUUACAUAACAGAGAAGAGAAGAGUAAUAGAAACGGUUACUCAUCUCCAGCCUCUCGGAAUUUACAUGUCUUUGCUAAGAAAAUACAGGAGCUGGGGGAAGCGGUAGUGUAAUAACGUUCAUGUGCGACUAGGACGACGGCGGCGGCGAAAUUGCCCGACUGGAACAGGCGCCAGUCGGAGAAAUAACGAGAAGGAAGAAUAGAGGAAUGAAGGAAGAAUAAAUAUACGCGAGGCAGCUCGGAGGAGAUCGGCGAAACGAUGUACAGCUUCCGGCCAAAGGGGUGCGAAGGGUCGAUCGAUAAAGGAGGUCGACGGGGGUGGCCGAGGGGCACGCUUAAAGGGAAGUGAAAUACGCGUGAAGAACUGCACUUUCGUAAAUUCGGACGAAUCACUUCCGUUCGAUGCCUCCUCAUCGUAUUUAACGGGGGUGAUUGCGACUGGAUCGUGCGUGACGAAGUGGAGAACGAGCAGAAUUUAUAGAUAGAGUCUCUGAAAGAGUUGUAAAAUUAUGGCUUUUAAAAACAUAUCGCUAAUGAUUGUAGAUAAAUUAAAUAUAGUACAAAAACUUUCUCUAAGAACAAAA